GUUGUCCUUGAAGAGUUAACUUGCCCAGAACAGUGAAAGAAAAAGCUGCUUUUAAGGGAACUUCUGCAGACUGUGAACUUCUGAGCCCCUCCCCUUACAUGCUGGGUAUAAAACACUGAAACUCCCUGAACUCGGGGGGUUCAGAGGAUUGAUUGAUUACAGCAAAAGCUGUACCCUCUGAACUUGGCUGCAGCCAAAUAAAACUGUUUCCUGCUAUCUUCUGUGCCUUGCCUCCUUUGUCCCUACAACAUUUUUGGUGACCCAGAUGGGACAGAGGAGAUAAGGAAGGCUAUUCUGCCUCUCCUGUCUCCAGGACCGACUUCCCUGGGGCGAUGGGGGACAGUGGUCCCCUUGGCGCCCAGGCCACUCUUGGCCUGAAGGAGGAUUGACUCACCCAGCGCCCUGGGGCUGCCACCCUGGAGCACAACAGAACCCACAGGCAGCAGGAACCAGAAUUAGGGUUUUGGAGCACCGCCCAGCUGAACAGGUAGGACCCGGGUCCAUUUGGUUUUGUAGCCCACCUGAGUUCCCCUUCGAGACCUAAGCGGGUGGAAGAGAGGCUUGAUCACCCUCUGUUGGGUCCCGAGUACCCUCCAAAGUGGUUGGAGCUGAAACUGACCCGGGGAGUAGCCAGAGUAGUCUCUGUUCGGGGUCAGCGAGCAGAGGGGAAACCGUGACUCUCUUUUCUGUUUGGUUUGGAACUGUUGGAAUUUGGGCGGUAUAGAAAUUCUGUCCUGGCCAUGUCUGUGUGAAAGUGUGUGAAUGAGACGGACAAAGGGAAGGGUUCCAACCCAACCCGAGGGACGAAGCGAGUGCAGAGUCCUGAUCCGCGGUUCCGUGGCACCUCAUACAGUCUAUGGAGGAAUUUCACCAACCAACGUCUAGGUGAAAACUCCAGGUCUGGGGUUGAUACCGACCCGCUAGGCUAAGAGGGCCCUAAGUCCCCGCGAGGGGAGCUGCUGGAGAAGGACGAAGCGAGUCUUGUCCUAAAUGUGUUUUGUUCUAAGUGUGCGACACCGAUGCAGGGUGGAACAUGGGAGGCACACUAAGGAAACUGAGACUUCUGAAAUGUGUGUGAGAAGCCUUUAGGAAGGUUUUCCUGGUAACUGUGGGUGAGACUCACUCCACAAAGGUUGCAGACUCUGUGAAUUAGAGUGGCUCACCCAAGAUGUGGGAUGGCCACCAGAAGGAUCUUUAGAUGAGAGAGUCAUUGCUGAGGUCCUUUUGGUUGUUGUUGGAACCCUGAACCAAUUCUCUUAUAUUGAUUGCUGGCAAGAGAUAAUACAAAAACAGCCCCCUUGGUUGAGAGCCUGUCUAGAUGGACAGUCCAAGCUGAGGUUAGCCAGGAGCAUAGUGGUCUCUAAGACCCAGCGGAAAAUAGCUAAACAGAAAACCUGACUAGGAAAGACAGGAAAGAAAACAGUUUUCCCCAUGAGCCAGAAGAGGACCCAAGACCAAUUUUGCCAAGAUCACUGGGACAGCAGACUGUCCCCUCAGCCCCCUUGUCCUCAGAGGUAACAAAUGAUGGCCCCCAAUACUGGCUAUUCUUUCCUCUGUGAUGGCCUCAAAGCCAAAGGCUUCCUAGAACCAAAGAUUCUUUCACCUCCAAAGAUGAAGGUGGGAGAUUUGUCCCAAGAUCAGAACCACAACCCAGAUGAAAACUCUCCAGAUGCCCCUGCAAGGGACUAAAGGACAUACCCAUGUUGACCAGAGGGAAACGUCUGAGGGAGACAAGGGAGACAAGGCAGUUUUGUGUGCCAGCCUUUCACCACCAUUGUGCUCAUCAACUGGAAAAAUCAUACUCCCUCCUACAUGGAGAAACCCUGUACCAUGACUGAUCUGAUGCAGCCUAUUAUCCAGACCUAGGAUGGGGCCCCAGCAAAGAAGAAGGGCUAAAGAUAGAGAGAUGUCAAGAAGCCCUCCUAGGAAGUCUAAAAGAAAAGAAAAAAAGAGAAAAAAACACACUGUCUGUGCCCAAGAGUUAGAAGGAAUUGGAGCCAGCCCUGAGCCCCAGCCUAAGCUGAACACAUCUGCAGACAAACAGAGCCGAGAUAAGCCUCCUGCUGCUCCAGCGUCUCCCUCUCGCACCCUCGAUAGCCUGAAUAUUUCUCUCGGCCCCACAUCUGCCUAAGGCCUCUCUGCCCUAUGAAACUGGCAGCAAUAAUCAAAAGAGAUGUGCCCAACUGACUCAGAGCUAAAUGUCCAGGCCACCGCGGCUGCCGCCCCUCUCCCUGCCCAAAGGUGCUGGGGGGGGGGGCACCAUACAAACAUUGCAGCCACAGUGCAAGUUUGUCAGUGAAGAAAUGCAUAGGCACAAGCAACAGGUGAUCAAUGCAGCCUUUGUGGGACAGGCUCAGAGAGCCAUUUGACAAAAAUUACAAUCCUAGAGGGCUUUACUGAGAAGCGUGCCAGAGACUCAAAGACAGGCAGACCAGAAAGAUAAAGAGGAGGAUGGAUCUCCUUACAAACCCGGAGUUCACUCAAAGGGGGGUCUCACUAGUACAAAGACAAUGGUCCAAAUGUUUAUAAGGAAAAAAAAAAAAAAAAGCAUGGCCAGACAAAAGGGGAAGCCACCAAUGGCCCUGGCAGACAAGUACCCACUGCCAUGCUCAAAAGCUAAGACUUGAACAGAAAAGCAAUGAAUGUUUUGGCGUCAGCCUCUCCUUUCAGUUUCUUCCCACUUGCUCGGAAGUCUGUGAUUGACGAAUAUGGCAGGGGUCCAAUAGACACACACAACUGUAUCUGAUGCACGGGACCCAGUGCCUCAGGAGGGCUCAGCUGCUGCAAGCCCCAAAAUGAGCCAGGAAUAUGUUCAUGUUAACAGCUGAUAGUGAGCCAUAGGGUGCUCACUCCAAAAGGACAUGCCACCCUGGCUCCAAGCCGCAUGCUGUGAGCCACCAGCAGGAAGGGCCACAGAGCCCCAUGCAACCAAGCAUACUGAACAAAACACAAGCGGGGCAGCUACUAUAGACAAUUAGAGCAGGCUCCCACCUGACAAGAGGAGAAAACCAUGCAAAGAGCAACAGCUAGAUGGACACAAUGUGGCUGCCACACUGGGACUUGCAUGGAACCGCAGACGGCCCACGGUGAGAUUUACAUAGGUGCCUUUUACACAAAUUAUGUCCCAGGUCAUCAGCCUCUGCUAAGAUUUAAGAGUUGGAGAAUCCUAGCAACCAAGAUCCUGCACUGGGAGAUAACAAAAAAAAAAAAAUCCUGCAUCCUAAAGCGCCAGACACUCUAUGUACGCCUCCCUUCCCUAAAUGACAGUUCCUCCCAGGGGCUUGAGUACAUCAUCCUUGGGACAGCACUGGACUCUGACUUAAAACCCCAUAUCUACCAAGAAAAAGGUCAAAUACUUUGGUUACCAUCUGACUCGACAACAGAACAGACAAUAGCAACUGGGCCUCAAAAGAAACAGGAGCUCUGCUCAAUUCCAGUCCCUUCAACCUGCCAUCAGACUAGAGAAUUCUUGGGGGCUACUAGGUUCAGACAUGUACGGAUCCCCAACUUUCAGUUAUGACAAAAGCCCUCUAUGAAGCCACAAAGGGGGGAAAUGGGAUCCUCUUAUAUGGGGGUCAACUAAGCAAAAGGCCUUUGAGGACAUUAAACAAGCACUCACCUGUGCACCUGGAUUAUGGCUCCCUGACCUCACAAAGCCUUUCUUUCAGUAUGUCCAUGAUCUGUCUGGAGUAACUGUGGGAGUUUUGACUCAGAUGCUGAGGACAUGGCACUGUCCAGUGGCCUAUUUGUCCAAACAGCUGGACUCUGUAGCCCAGGGCUGGCCACCUUUAUUUUGAGCUCUUGCAGUCACAGCUCUUCUGGUAUCGGAAGCUGAUAAACUGGCCAUGGGACAAGAACUGGUAGUCAGAGUUCCUCAUUCAAUUUUGACAUUGUUAAAACACUAUUGGUUGACUAAUGAAAAAUUGGUCAAAUAUCAGGACAUGUUAUGUAAAAACCCACAUAUCUAUGUUGAGGUCAUCAGACCUCUAAACCCAGGAACUUUGCUGCCCAUUGGACCUGGAAAACCUGAUCACAAAUGUGUUGAGGUCAUGGAUGAAGUGUUCUCCAGCAGAUCAGACCUAACAGACCAGCCUCUCGAGGACGCUGAUGCAGAGUACUUCACAGAUGGAAGCAAUUUUGUAAAAGAUGAGGUAUGUUUUGCUGGAUAUGCAAUGGUCACUCUGGACUCUACUGUCGAGGCAGAAUGUCUGCCUCAGGGAACUUCAGCACAAAAGUAAAACUUAUUGCUUUGAUUCAAGCACCUCAGUUGACAGCAGGAGUCUGUGUGGAUAUUUACAGACUCAAAAUAUGCGUUGGCUACCUUCAUGUUCAUAGGGCCUUAUGUAAGGAAAAGGGGCUCAUUAACUCAGGAGAAAAAAAAAAAGGCAUGAUGUAUGGGCAAGGAAUUCUUGAACUUUUAAAUGCACUGUGGGCUCCCAGGAAAGUUGUGAUUAUAUAUUGCCAAGGUCAUCAAAUGGGAAACACUGUGGUUUUUCAGGGCAACAGGAGGAGAGCUGACAGAAAGGCCAGGUUAGCUGUCUGCAAGAAACGGGAAGAAAAUCCAGUCCCAGGUUUAAAUGCUGCCCUUUUGCCUGGCCGACUAGCUAACAAAAUGGGAGCCAACACACUCCCAACAUGAAAGUAAGUGAUUUAAGACUGAACAAGAAAAUUUUCUCCCAGGUGGAUGGUGGAGAUUUUCUGAUGGCUGGAAUAGCCAUCCCGGAGUUUCUAGCCCCAGCCUUUAUCAAACAGUUUCGCAAAAAUAUGUUGGACAUACAGCACUUGAGACAGUUCUGAGUCAACGUUUCUAUGACCCCCAGCUCACAAACAUCACCUGGAUGAUCUGCAAACAAUAUGAGGUUUGUGCUCACAACAAUUCUUGUCAGGGGCCAAAGCUUUCACCAGGAAUCCAAACUAUAGGAGGAGCACUUUUUGAAGACUUGGAAGUAAACUUCACUGAACUACCAUGCUCACGGGGCUAUAAAUAACUUUUGUUUUUUGUGAGUUCAUACUCUGACUGGGUGGAAGCCUUUCCCACCCGCACUGAAAAGGCUAAGGUGUCCCAAUAAUUAUUGGCUCAGACAAUAGGCCAGCUUUGGGGCAGAAGUGAUAUGAUUACUAACCAAGAGUUUACAUAUCAGAUGAAAGUUACGUUCUGCCUAUAGGCUGCAGAGUUCUGGUAAAGUUCAAAGGAUGAACAGGAUUUUAAGGCUCAAUUGGGUAAGCUGUGUCAGGAGACUUACAUUGUGUUCAACUUCUCCCUAUCACACUGUUGUGGAUUAGAUCCACUCCCACUAGGAGGACUGGAUUCUUUUCUUUUGAGAUAAUAUAUAGGAGCCCCCCCUCUUAUUAGGGGACUACAGGGAGACUUAAGAAAGAUAGGAAAAUUAACCCUGAGUCGACAGCUUCAGGUCUUAGGGAAAACUUUACAGGUUCUCAACCAAUGGGUUAGAGAAAGAUUGUCAGUGAAUUUGACCCAGGUGCACACUCCUUCAAGCCUGGAGAUUGAGUCUGGGUCAAAGAAUGAAAUAUUCAGCCUCUAAACUUCUUUGGAGGGGCCCUUUCAAUGUUAUUUUAUCCACCCCAACUGCAGUAAAGUUUGCAGAGAUAGGUCCCUGGAUUCACUACACCAGACUCACACCUGCAGCUGCGGACUGGGAGUGCUCUCCAGAUGCUGAUACGCCCUUGAAGCUGACCAUCCUGAAGAAAAAGAAGCACCAGAGAAGCUUGAGGAUCAGAAGGACAACAGCCCUGCUCCAGUCACUCCGGAAGCUGACUGGUCUACGCACGGCCGAAGCUUGAGGAGACUGCGGCCCUGUUUCAGCCACACAGGAGGGACUAACUGAUCAAUACAUGGUGAAAGAUAAACUUCCCACCGGGAUUAAGAAACUCUUUCAACCUCUGAGAUAGUUCUUAUACAGUAAUGCAUUGCCACCCCUUGCUUCUAGGUAUAUACACAGUUCUCUGUUUGGUUUUAGCUACUGGUUUGAUAACAGUAACUCCUAACUGACUGGACUCUGGGUAACAAAAUUUCACUUAUAUAUCUAUUUUUUUAUCUUGGUUAUAUAAGUUUUCUAGGAUUUGUUUGGUGUUAUUAGUUUGGCUUUGUUAAUUUAUGCUGUUUAACCUAUGCUAACCAAAAUGUUAGUCUAUUAUUUAGUUUGGUUUCCUUUGAUAACCUUAAGAGGUUCUGCCCUACUCCUAUUCCAGCCAUGGAGAUCAUGUGAACCAUGUGUCAAGACAAUCCACUAUAACUAAGAGGUGGUAAAACAUAUAUUUAGGACCUGUCCCACCAGAGGAAUGUUAUAGAUGGAUAACUGUUUGGAAAGGAAAAAGAGGUCCAUUGGAAAGAAACUUGAUUUAGGAGGUCACCAAUCUUGGGGUGAAGGUAACUGGCCAUCCCAGAGGAUUAUUGCCACUUAUGGUCUUGCUACCUGGGGACAAAAUGGCAGUUGAAAUUAUAGAACUCCUAUUUACAUGUUAAACAGAAUUAUUCACUUACAAGCUAUACUAGAAAUUAUUAUUAAUAAGACUGCCAUAGCCUUUGACAUCCUAGCCACACAACAGAUCAGAUGCAAGUGGCUAACUAUCAAAACUGCUUGGCAUGAGAUUACCUACUGGCUAAGGAAAAAGAAAUAUGUGGAGAGUUCAACAGCUCAGAUUAUUGCAUCCAAAUGGAUAGGCAAGCAGUUAAGGAUAUAGCCAACAACACAAGAGAACUAGCACAUGUGCUCAUUCAUACCUAGAAGGGAAUUGAAGUUUGGGUCCCAAACAUGCUUUUGGCAGAUGGUUUUCAACUCUUGGUAGAUUUAAAAGCUUAACUGGUGUAAUGGGUAUUCCGCUAUUAACCUGUUCAUUGCUCCCAUGUUUGGCUCCACUGUGCAUUAAAACUAUUGGGUCCACUAUAGAAGCUGCUGUUAAAAGGAUGGCAACAACUAAGGUUUUGACAUUGUAUAAGACUUUAAGCCAAGAUAAUGGUAAUGAUGCUCUUAAAUUUAAAGGAUUAAAUUAUGGGGAGCAUCAUUAAAGGGGGGAAUUGAAGUGGCACCCCUUUCUCCACAGAAAAGCCCUCUUCACCAUGGCUAAUUCUAGGACUGUCAGCAAAAGAGUCCAUUGUAGAUAAACUUCCUAUUUUCAUGUCACCCUGUUUACUUGGCCACUGGCCGAGAAGAUACCAGCACUCCAGGUGCUGGACAUCCCCUUACUAGUUUUUCACAAACAUAUCAGUAUAGUACUUUGAAGAAAUGUGCAAACAAGGCCUCUGGCCUUGAGCUGAGCUUCACAGAGAUGUCUAUAUUUUUAAGAUAAGUUAUAAAUGGGCCCAUGGUAACAUCUGGCAGGGGGAGGAAAGAAAGGGGAGAAGAAGCUCUCCCCUUCUCAGGUGUUGUCCUUGAAGAGUUAACUUGCCCAGAACAGUGAAAGAAAAAGCUGCUUUUAAGUGAACUUCUGCAGACUGUGAACUUCUGAGCCCCUCCCCUUACAUGCUGGGUAUAAAACACUGAAACUCCCUGAACUCGGGGGGUUCAGAGGAUUGAUUGAUUACAGCAAAAGCUGUACCCUCUGAACCUGGCUGCAGCCAAAUAAAACUGUUUCCUGCUAUCUUCUGUGCCUUGCCUCGUUUGUCCC
rnacentral:lncRNA from 1 species